GGGGCUGUGGCUCAGUGGAAGAGCAUCUACUUAGCAUGUAGAAGGCCCCCGGUUCAAUUCCUGGCAUCUCCA